rnacentral:rRNA from 1 species
GGUAUUGUAAUAAGACUUUAAUUGAGUGCUAAAAGAAUGGAUUUUCAAAAAAAAUCUUUUUUAAAUUUAAUAUUUAAAUUUAUUUUUAUUUGUGAAGAAACAAUAAUAAAAAUUAAGGACAAGAAGACCCUAUGAAUUUUUAUAAUUUUAAUUUUAAAUUUAAAAUUAAAAUUAUUUAAUUGGGGCGAUUAAAAAAAAUAAUAAACUUUUCAUAUUAAAAAUUGAUCCAUUAAUAAUGAUUUUUUGAAAUAAAUACUCUAGGGAUAACAGCGUAAUAAUUUUAGAUAGAUCUUAUAGAAAAAAUAGUUUGCGACCUCGAUGUUGGAUUAGGAUACUUUUUUAAUGAAGAAGU